UGUGUGUGUGUGUGUGUGUGUGUGUGUGUGUGUGUGUGUGUGUGUGUGUGUGUGUGUAAAGGGGUCAAGGCGGUGUUUGGAGUAAUUUUGUUAUGUU